UGUAAUCCCUGUGAGACCACCAGUGGCGAAGGCGUCUUACCAGAACGGGUCCGACGGUGAGGGACGAAAGCUGGGGGCACGAACCGGAUUAGAUACCCGGGUAGUCCCAGCUGUAAACGAUGCUCGUUAGGUGUCAGGAACGGUGCGACUGUUUCUGGUGCCGAAGGGAAGCCGUGAAACGAGCCACCUGGGAAGUACGGCCGCAAGGCUGAAACUUAAAGGAAUUGCCGGGGGAGCACUACAACGGGUGGAGCCUGCGGUUUAAUUGGACUCAACGCCGGAAAACUCACCGGGGGCGACAGCAAUAUGUAGGUCAGGUUAAAGGUCUUACCUGAAUCGCUGAGAGGAGGUGUAUGGCCGUCGUCAGUUCGUACUGUGAAGCAUCCUGUUAAGUCAGGCAACGAGCAAGACCCGUGCCCACUGUUACCAGCAUAUCCUUCAUGGAUGAUGGGGACUCUGUGGGGACCGCUGCUGCUAAAGCAGAGGAAGGUGCGGGCUACGGUAGGUCAGUAUGCCCCGAAUCUCCCGGGCUACACGCGGGCUACAAUGGUUGGGACAAUGGGUAUCUACUCCGAAAGGAGUUGGCAAUCUCUUAAACCCAAUCGUAGUUCGAAUUGAGGGCUGUAACUCGCCCUCAUGAAGCUGGAAUCCGUAGUAAUCGCGUUUCAACAUAGCGCGGUG
rnacentral:rRNA from 1 species